CCUACGGGUGGCAGCAGUGAGGAAUAUUGGUCAAUGGGCGCAAGCCUGAACCAGCCAAGUCGCGUGAGGGAUGCCGGUCCUAUUGAUUGUAAACCUCUUUUGUCGGGGAGCAAGGCCCGCCACGUGUGGCGGGAAGGAGAGUACCCGCAGAAAAAGCAUCGGCAAACUCCGUGCCAGCAGCCGAGGUAAUACGGGGGAUGCGAGCGUUCUCCGGAUUUAUUGGGUUUAAUGGGUGCGUAGGCGGAAGGUUAAGUCAGCGGUCAAAUGUCGGUGCUCAACUCCGGCCUGCCGUUGAAACUGGUCGUCUUGAGUGAGCGAGAAGUAUGCGGAAUGCGUGGUGUAGCGGUGAAAUGCAUAGAUAGCACGCAGAACUCCGAUUGCGAAGGCAGCAGACCGGCGCUCAACUGACGCUGAGGCACGAAAGCGUGGGGAUCGAACAGGAUUAGAUACCCCGGUAGUC
rnacentral:rRNA from 1 species